rnacentral:lncRNA from 1 species
ACACAUACGGCACUGGCAGGAUCCCUGACAAGGAGAUCCUCAAGAUUGUGAAGGAGAACUUCGACUUCAGGCCUGGCAUGAUCAUCAUCAACCUUGACCUCAAGAAAGGUGGCAACGGACGCUACCUCAAGACGGCGGCUUACGGUCACUUCGGAAGGGACGACCCAGACUUCACCUGGGAGGUGGUGAAGCCCCUCAAGUGGGAGAAGCCCUCUGCCUAAAGCUCCCUUCCGGAAGCUUUUGCCCUAUCCCAUUAUGAUGUUUUGUUUCCUCUCCGCACAGCAUUGUGAUUCUUAACCUUGCCCCUUGCUACCAUUUAUACCCAUGCACGUUACUCUCCUAAUAAUAAGUACUUGUAAGGGUAUUGUGUUUGGAUAUUUACCUAGAGGAGGAGGAUUUAUGAUCUGUUAUUCACUGUUUGAU